AAGACCUCAAGCACAUUAGAAACUCAGAAAAGGGCAGGUCUAAUGUGAGACAGGAUAAGCACAAAAGUCUUCAGCUGGCAAAGUACUAUGGCAGACGCUGUGAUUCUUCACUUCUUUCUGGAUUGAACUGCCCUAUUAUGUACACUUGCAGCAAUUCCCAGCAAGGAAUGGAAUCUGUUUCCCCACCUCUUGAGUCUGGACUGGUCCAAUGACCUGAUUUGACGAAAAGAAUGAAGUGGGAGUGACCAUGUGCCAGUUCUGAGCCUAGAUUUCAAGAAACCCACUCUGUUGGAAUCCUCUUGCUGCCAUGUGAGUAAGCCUGUGUAAGCCUGCUGGACAAUGAGAAACACAGAGCCUAGUUGCGGCAUUAACCCAGCCGACAGCCAGAAUAUCCUGCAGCUCACCAAAGAUGCUAAGGGAGUCCAGGAAUGUGAAGCUGCUAAGCAAAGAGGAGAUCUUCAAUAAAUGUUGCAUCAGAAGAAAUAUAAAAACCUGAGAACAAAAGUCUCUCAUCCAUUCGGGGGGUAUCCCCCAUCUUCUAUGCCUCUCAUCUAGAGGAAACACAGCCCACCUGCUUUCAAGCCAGGCACGUCCUUGGGCGUUCUGCUGGGGCUGCGUGUGAACUCAGUGCAGCAUUCCCAAUGACUACAUCUAAUCAGUUCAGCAGCUCGUGGAUUCUGCAGGAUUGAACCAUUUGCUGUGCAAGCCCAAGAGAUGAGUCAGCAGAACAGGAAAUUCUCCUUGCACAAGCCCUUCUGAUCCCGUGGGUUGGGUGUGUGUGGUAUCGAGCGAGGGCUGGGAAGAGAACCGGCUUCUCUCCUGGAACCACUUUGAAAGGCGAACAAUGCAAGUUGGCCGAAUACUUAAUAUCUUCUGGAAAAGACAUUGAGAAACCUGCUCCGUGGGUAUGCUCUGAGUAUCCUCUCCCCCAACAUUUGUUAUUAAUGACUUCAGUCAGGCACUUUAUACCAUGCUGAUCAAAUGUGUAGAUAUGAUAAGUCAAUGAUUCUUAAAUUUGACCGCACAUCAGCUUCAC
rnacentral:lncRNA from 1 species